GCGGGAGUAGCUCAAUGGUAGAGCGUCAGCCUUCCAAGCUGAGGGUCGCGGGUUCGAGCCCCGUCUCCCGCU
rnacentral:tRNA from 1 species